AUGAAAACAGCCUGUCUAGUUAGCCAAGGUGACUGCCUGGGACCCAACCAGGGUUUUUGAUGUAUUAAAACCUCGUGGACAUUAGGUGCAGGCAAGUCAUCCUUGGCUACCAAACAAGACUCUUUAUCU
rfam:Gossypium arboreum cultivar AKA8401 contig_14502_1, whole genome shotgun sequence.